UACGUAGGGGGCUAGCGUUGUCCGGAAUCAUUGGGCGUAAAGCGCGUGUAGGCGGUCCGGUAAGUCCGCUGUGAAAGUCGAGGGCUCAACCCUCGAAUGCCGGUGGAUACUGUCGGGCUUGAGUACGGGAGAGGCGAGUGGAAUUCCUGGUGUAGCGGUGAAAUGCGCAGAUAUCAGGAGGAACACCGAUGGCGAAGGCAAUCCCCUGGACCUGUACUGACGCUCAUGCACGAAAGCGUGGGGAGCAAACAGG
rnacentral:rRNA from 1 species